GUCUUUGUCUAGUUUUGAUAUCAGGGUUAUGGUGGCCUCAUAGAAUGAGUUUGGGAGUGCUCCAUCCUCUGCAAUUUUUGGAAUAGUUCAGGAGUAUAGGUGUUAGCUCUUCUCAAAACGUUGGUAGAAUUUGUUUGUGAAGCCAUCUGGUCCUGGACUUUUGUUGGAGUUUUUAAAUCACAUUUUAUAUUCAGUACUUGGGAUUGGUCUGUUCAUCUUUUCUAUUUCAUCGAGGUUUAAUCUUGGAAGAUUGUAGUUUUCUAAGAAAUUGUCCAUUUCUUCUAGUUUUUCCAUUUUAUUGGUGUAUAGUUGAAUAUAAUAGUCUCUUAUGAUCCUUUGUAUUUCUGUGAUGUCUGUUAUUCUCCUUUUUCAUUUCUAAUUUUAUUUAUUUGAGUCCUUUCUCUCUCUAUUUUUUUUUUUUUUUUGGCUUUUUGCCAUCUCUUGGGCUGCUCCUGUGGCAUAUGGAGGUUCCUAGGUGAGGGGUCGAAUCAGAGCCAUAGCCACCGGCCUACGCCAGAGCCACAGAAACAUGGGAUCCAAGCCGCAUCUGCAACCUACACCAUAUCUCACAGCAAUGCCAGAUCCUUAACCCACUGCGCAAGGCCAGGGAUCGAACCUGCAACCUCAUGGUUCCUAGUCAGAUUCGUUAACCACUGAGCCACAAUGGGAACUCCAUCUUUUUUUUUUUCUUAAUAUGUAUGGCUCAGGGUUUGUCAAUUUGUUCAUCUUUUCAAAGAACCAUGUUUAGAUUUCAUCUUUUCUAUGAUUUCUUUUACAUUGAUUUGUGCUCUGAUCUAUAUGAUUAUUUUUCUUCUGCUAACUUUAGGUUUUCUCUGUUCUUCUCUCUCUAGGUGUUGUAGAUAGAAAGUUGAGUUGUUUAUUUGAGCUCUUUCUUGUUUCCUGAGGUAUGCUUGUAUUGCUAUAAACUUCCCUCUUAGAACUGCUUUUGCUGCAUCCCACAGGUUUUAGACUGUUGUAUCUUUGUUUUCAUUUGCUUAUAGGUAUUUUUUAAUUUCCUCUUUGAUUUCUUCAGGGAUCUAUUGGUUGUUUAGUAGCAUGUUGUUUAGUCUCCAAGUAUUUGUGUUUUUUGCAGUUUUUUUCUUGUUGAUUUCCUAUCAUACAGUGUUGUGGUCAAAAAAGAUGCUUGAAAUGAUUUCAAUUGAAUUAAGAUUACUGAGGCUCAAUUUGUAGCCCAGAAUGUGAUCAAUCUUAAAAAAUGUUCCAUGUGCACUUGAGAAGAAUGUGUAUUCUGCUGCCUUUGGAUGGAAUGUCCUAUAAAUAUCUAUUAAGUCCAUCUGGUCUAAUGCUUCAUUUAGGGCCUACGUUUCUUUAGUGAUUUUUCUGUCUGGAUGAUCGGGGCAUUUCUGUAAGUGGAGUAUUAAAGUCAUCCACUAUUACUGUGCUAUUUUCAAUUUGUCCUUUUAAAUUUUUUAGCAGUUACCUUAUAUAUUGUGGUGAAUCCUAUGUUGGGUGCAUAAAUAUUUAAAAUUUUUGUAUCUUCUAGGAUUGAUCCUUUGAUCAUUAUGUAAUGUCCUUCCUUGUCUCUUAAAAUAUUCUUCUUUUUAAGGUCUAUUUUGUCUGAUAUGAGUAUUGCUACUCCAGCUUUCUUUUGAUUCCUGUUUGCAUAGAAUAUUUUAUUCCAUCCUCUCACUUUCAAUUUGUAUGUGUGCCUAAAAGUGAGGUGGGUCUCUUAAAGACAGCAUAUAUAUGGGUCUUGCAUCCAUUCAGCCAGUCUAUGUCUUUUGGUUGGGUGUUUAGUCCAUUAACAUUUAAGGUAAUUAUUGAUAUGUGCAUUCUUAUUGUCAUUUUAUUAACUGUUUUGGAUUUGUUUUUGUUGCCAUUUUUUCUUCCCUUCUUCUCUUGUCUCUCCUCUUGUGGUUUGAUGACUAUCUUUAGUGUUGUAUUUGAGUUGAUUUUUCUUACUUGUUUGUGUAUCAAUUGUAGAUUUUUGGUUUGCAGUUGCCCUGAAGUUUUUAUAUAAGAGUCUCUCUCUGUCUCUGUCUCUUUCUGUCUCUGUCUCUCUCUCUAUAUAUAUAUGAUUGUUUUAAGUUGUUGGUCUCUUAAUUGCAAGUGCAUCUCCAAUGUCCUGCACUUGUAUCCUCCUCUUCUCAUAAUUUCUGAUUUUGGUAGCAUAAUUGUGCGUGGAUGGUUUCCUAUCUUUACUGUAUAUAUGCCUUUACUGAUGAGCCUAUCAUUUAUGUUAUUUUUGUUUCUAUUUGUGGCCUUUUCUUUUUUGCCUAGAGAAGUUCCUCUAGUAUUUGUUGUAAAGCUGGUUUAGAGUUGCUGAAUUCUCUUAGCUUUUGCUUAUCUGUAAAGCUUUUUAUUUCUCCUUCAUAUCUGAAUGAGAGCCUUGCUGGAUAAAGUAAUCUUGGUUGUAGGCUUAUUUCCUUUCAUCGCAUUAAUUAUAUCAUGCCAUUCCCUCCUGGCCUGCAGUGUUUCUGCUGAAAAAUCUGCUGAUAACGUUAUUGGGGUUCCCUUGUAUGUUGUUUCUUUUCCCUAGCUGCUUUCAAUAUUUUCUCUUUGUCUUUACUUUUGGUCAGGUUGAUUCAUAUGUGUCUUGGGAUGUUCCUCUUUGGGUUUAUUUUAUGUGGUACUCAUUUCACUUUCUGGAUUUGAGUGAGUGGUUCCUUUCCUGUGUUAGGGAAGUUAUCUCUUUGCAUAUUUUUUCUGUCCCUUUCUCUCUCUCUUCUCCUUCUGGCAUCCCUAUAAUAUGGAUGUUGGUGCAUUUAAUGUUGUCCCAGAGUUCUCUGAGACUCUCUUCAUUUGUUUUCAAUCUUUUUUUUUCCUUUUGUUCUGCAUCGGUUAUUGCCACUAAUCUGUCCUCUACCUCAUCUAUUCAUCCUUCUGCUUCCUGUAUUCUGCUAUUAGUUGCUUAUAAUGAACUUUUUAUAUCAGUUAUUGUAUUUUGCAUCUCUUCUUGCUUAAGUUUUAAACCUUGUAUCUCUUUGCUCAGUGUUUCCUGUAAGUUGUCCAUCUUUGCUUCCAUUUUAUUUCCAAUGUCUUGCAUCAUCUUCAGCAUCAUUGGUUUAAAGUCUUUUCCCUGGAGGCUGAUAAUCUCCUGAUCACUUAGCUAUUUUUCUGGGGCUUUUUCUUUUUCCCUUACGUGAGUUACAGUUUUCUGCCUUUUCAUUUUUAUAGGUUUUUGUGUGGUGUCCUUUUUGUAGACAAUAGAGUUGUAGCCUCUCAUUUCUGAUAUCUGGCCCUCUUUUGCCUGAAGUUGAUACAGGGGCUUGCUGUAGGCUUCCUGAUGUGAGGGACUGAUGCCUACCUACUCAUAGGUGGGGCUGAUUGCCAUCUCUCUGGUGGGUGGGGCUUUGUCUCUGGGUGAGAUAAAAGGCAGCUGUGUCCCUGGGGGUCUUUAGGCAGCCUGUUUACUGAUGGGUGGGGCUAUGUUCCUACUUGGAUUAUUGUUUGGCCUGGGGCUUCUCAGCACUGAAGGGUGUGCCAGAUUUUCCCAAAAUGGCCACCUUCAGAGAAACACACACUGAUGUAUAUUCCCAAGAGAAUGUCCUUUCCCAACAACUAGCCACAGUUACCAUCUGUUUUCCCAAAAGACUCUCCAUGAACUGCAGUCCGGUCCAACCCAGAUUCCUAUGGAGACUUUGCUUUGCCCUGGUAACCAGUGCACAUUAAAGUCUGUGUGUACCUUUUAAGAAUAGGGUCUCUAUUUUCUCCCAGUCCCAUGGAGCUCUGCACACAAUCCAUUGGUUUUCAAUACCAGAUGCUCAAGGGGUUCUUUCUCCCAAAGCCAGAUCCCCAAGCAUGGGGACUUGACAUGGGGCUCAGAACUCACACUCCUGUAGGUGAGUCUCUGUGGUACAGUUACUUUCCAGUCUUUGGGCUUCCCACCUGGCAGGUAUGGGGUUGCUUAUAUCAUGUAAUUGUCCCUCCUACCUCUUGAUGUGGCCUCCGCUUUGUCUUCUGGAGUAGGGUAUCUUUUUGAAAGUUUCCAGUCCAUUUGGUUGAAAGUUAUUCAUAAUUUGACUGCAAUUUUGUUGUUUUUAUGAGAGAAGUUGAGUUCCAGUCCUUCUAUUCCACCAUCUUAAUCUCGUCCUCCUCUUAGAUCUUCUAUUACAGCAAUUAAUUAUAUUUAAUGUUAUCUUUGAGACAAAUAAUUUCUGAGUAAUUCAGAUAUAUAAAGAAUCCUAAGGGUGAAAUAAUAGUAGUUACUUUUUAUUGACUCCUGACUGUAUUCAGCACAGUUACAAGUUUUUGGCAUGAAUAGUAUUUUGGUGCUGCUCUUUCUUAUAGAGUACCAUGGGUGGUCUUAAGCAACUCAAGAAUCUCUGAGAACAUUCAAAUGCUGACUCUUUUCAGGGUACAUAAGGGAUUUCUUUGGUGGGGUGUUAGCUGGGUGGAUGUCAUGGUUGGGGGUGUGAAGUGUUCCUAAGCAUGGUGGGAGCCCUGUGUCUGGGUAACUCUUUGCCCCUACAUGCCCCCAGUGUUCCCAUCCAGCAAGCUGACCUCUUGGAUCAGAUACCAACAGGUUGGCUGAAGUCAAAACACUGGUGCAAGGCAGAGGGGACAGAUAAGUGCAUUCAAUGCAUUAGUAGAAAUCCCACAGAAGAAUGAGAUGAUGCCAGUGCUAGCUUCCUGAGGGCACUUUCUGUCUCUCUGAAUGAUUCUCUUUAAUAUGCCUAUUCCAUUGGCUUGAAGCAUAAAAGGAAAAUCCCCUCUAUAUCCUGCAAGGUUGGGGACUUGUAGCACUGACAAUUCCUUUUUUCCUUCCCCAAUCUCCCCCUUAACUGUAUUUAUAAGUGUGUGUGUGUGUGUGUGUGUAGUGUUCAGAUUAUGGCAAAGUGGUUCAUAUCUGAGUUUCCUUUAUAAAGUGAAGUUCUUGGUGCCUCUUGUCCCAAAUACUGAACCCUACUCAUCAAUUCCAUGGCAAUGGGAAAAGUCAAUUCACUGUCCUGAUGCACUCUUAGAUGGAUAAAUCAGCAAGCUCAUGAAGAGGACUAGUGGAGGAGAAGGUUUACAAGUUAGCUUGAAUUUGAC
rnacentral:lncRNA from 1 species